AUUGAACGCUGGCGGCAGGCCUAACACAUGCAAGUCGAGCGGAGCGGCGGACGGGUGAGUAAUGCCUAGGAAUCUGCCUGGUAGUGGGGGAUACCGUCCGGAAACGGGCGCUAAUACCGCAUACUAUCAGAUGAGCCUAGGUCGGCUUAGCUAGUGGGUGGGGUAAAGGGCUACCAAGGCGACGAUCCGUAACUGAUCUGAGAGGAUGAUCCACCACACUGGAAAUGAGACACGGUCCAGACUCCUACGGGAGGCAGCAGUGGGGAAUAUUGGACAAUGGGCGAAAGCCUGAUCCAGCCAUGCCGCGGGUGUGAAGAAGGUCUUUGGAUUGUAAAGCUCUGUAAGUUGGGAAGCGUUACCAACAGAAUAGGCACCGGCUAACUUCGUGCCAGCAGCCGCGGUAAUUC
rnacentral:rRNA from 1 species